rnacentral:rRNA from 1 species
CCUACGGGAGGCAGCAGUGAGGAAUAUUGGUCAAUGGACGCAAGUCUGAACCAGCCAUGCCGCGUGCAGGAAGACGGCUCUAUGAGUUGUAAACUGCUUUUGUACGAGGGUAAACGCAGAUACGCGUAUCUGUCUGAAAGUAUCGUACGAAUAAGGAUCGGCUAAAUCCGUGCCAGCAGCCGCGGUAAUACGGAGGAUUCAAGCGUUAUCCGGAUUUAUGGGGUUUAAGGGGUUCGGAGGCGGUCUGAUAAGUUAGAGGUGAAACCUCGGGGCUCAACUUCGGAAUUGCCUUUGAUACUGUUCGGCUAGAGAGUAGGUGCGGUAGGCGGAAUGUAUGGUGUAGCGGUGAAAUGCUUAGAGAUCAUACAGAACACCGAUUGCGAAGGCAGCUUACCAAGCUACUUCUGACGUUGAGGCACGAAAGCGUGGGGAGCAAACAGGAUUAGAUACCCUAGUAGUC